GCUUCUUGGCCUUUUGGCUAAGGUCAAGUGUA
rnacentral:snRNA from 1 species